ACUAGGAGGAGAUAAGACUGGUAGACUAGUGUCAGGUGAGUUACACUAGGAGGAGAUAAGACUGGUAGACUAGUGUCAGGUGAGUUACACUAGGAGGAGAUAAGAUAAGACUGGUAGACUAGUGUCAGGUGAGUUACACUAGGAGGAGAUAAGACUGGUAGACUAGUGUCAGGUGAGUUACACUAGGAGGAGAUAAGAUAAGACUGGUAGACAAGUGUGAGGUGAGUUACACUAGGAGGAGGUAAGACUGGUAGACUAGUGUCAGGUGAGUUACACUAGGAGGAGAUAAGACUGGUAGACUAGUGUCAGGUGAGUUACACUAGGAGGAGAUAAGACUGGUAGACUAGUGUGAGGUGAGUUACACUAGGAGGA